ensembl:lncRNA PRANCR progenitor renewal associated non-coding RNA
ACCCUCUGACCGCCGCCGUGACCCCCGUCGCUCCGGCUUCCCUCCAGGCGGCAGCGGAAGGUGGGAGCGACGACUGCAAAACGGCAGCGAUGGGGUGGGUAGGCAGGCCGCUUUCAGCGCGCUUCUAACAAGGUGGAGAGAGGCGCUUCACUUCCCUACCGCCCUUACCGCCGCUCCGUCUUGUCUCCCACCGACUCACAGGGAGGCUUGCUGCUCCUCCGCGGCCGUUACAGAGAGCGGGGCUUCUGCGGCCGCUACCGUUUCCCUGGGGCUAGGUUGCUUCGCAGAAGGCUCUGGCCCUGAGUCCGAGGGGGACUGCGGGGUCCAGGGGCGAUGAAUGCUCCCGCAACCUCCGGAGCUUGUGCGCGUACUUCAGGGACCGGCACCACGUCACCGUCACCUCCUGAGUAGUGAGUUCCCCUCUGAUGAAACCACUGGUGUGUUUACUCACCAUCCCCACCAUUUUUUUUUCCCCAACCUGAUGGAAGGAAGUACAUAAUGGAGAGCAAGUUUUUAAAGCACGGUCGUGUCGUGUGAACUUGCUCUAGCCAAAUUAGGUUUAUAGCACUUUUUUUGGCUCUCAUUACCUCCAGUCCCCACAUAAACAAGAGUGACCAGCUGGGUCAUCCGCAAGACCGUUUGAAAUUAUUGUGGCUUGGGUGGAAACUUAAAGGAGUGAAGUAUCUGCUUUCCAGAAAAAUCGUUGUCAUUCAAAGUGAAAUUAAACUUGUUUUCUUUGCAAUAAUUCGCCUUUAUUUCCUUGUAUAUCUGUAAACUCUUCACUUUUUUGUAAUUACUAGACAAUUCGGACUUAAAAAGAGCCUCAGCAUGUGUAUUUUGGAAUUGUGUAGCUUCAUAAUGUGAAAAUUAUUCUUUUCUAUUUGAGUAAAGUACAGUUAAUUUGAAGUAAAUAAAAUUUCUAUUUCCAUUGGUUGUUUCUUUUAAAAAGUCACCUUUUACUUACAAAAGAAUCACUGUAAUCCAGUUUACAUUUAUCAUUGAAGGUCAAAAGCAAGAAAUAGGAAGAAACACAAGCAUACUAUAAAAUAAAAGGUAACUGUCAUGUUUUUGAAGGUAAGGUGUUUUGACAUAUCAGCAGACAUUGUGUGAAUUUAUUUCAACUCCUAGUGGUACUGGUGUAGGUAGAAAAUGUUUUGCUUGGUUAUUCAUUUCAUCAAACACUCUACUUCACUGUUUUUUUUUCACUUCAGGAAAAUUCGAGGAGGAACAACACAUACUAGUGUCUUUCCUUUCUUUCUCCCCGUCUUCUGCAAAUAGUCCCUUCCUCUUCCUGCUUUCUCCUCCUUCUCAUGUUAACAUCUUCAACCAUAAGAUGGUGUGUUAAAAGAUUGAAUAUACCUCUAUGGAAUGACUUCCAGAGGGUGUAAGUCUGAUAUGAGAGUUUUAUUACCUUGAGUAUUUUACUGGAAGAGAUAGAACAACAAACAUUUUCAUAAUAAAUGUGUGGGUUAGGAGUGUUAGGAGAAAAUACACUGAUACUAUUACUUUCAAUAUUUGAUACUACUUACUUUGACUCUCACUGAACACCUAUUUGUUUAGGAUGAAUUCACUUUAAGCCGGGUUGAAGAACAAGCCUUUAAUUGUCCUAUUAUUUGUGCCAAAUCUAUUAUAAAUUUGUUAAAAAAUUUUUAAUACCUACCUUAGAGGGUACUCUAGGUAUUUAAUGAGCUAGCAUUUGUUAAAGGCUUGUAUAGUAAGAAUUCUUAUAGUAAGAGUUCUUACCAAUAGAUGGUAUAUUUUUUAAAUUGUCCUGUUGCAUCAAAAAGUUCAUCUUUAUUGGUAAUGUUGAUUAAGUUUGCCCAUUUGGUAGUUUGGUUUCUUUUAACUAUCUUACUAGAUUUUCUUACUUUUACCUGAAAAGUAGUCCUUACUAAUAGGCACAUGUUUUGUAUAUUUCCAAAAUAUGUAUUAUGUUAAAUUCUCUGUACACUUUAUUUAAAAAUUACAGACGUUGAGGGAAAAAAAAUACCCUAUUAAGGGAAGAAUGAGUUUGUGUAUAACUUGUAGAAGAAGGAGGCCACCCAUUUUUAGAAAAAUAUGGAUGGUAUUGAAAAUUUUGCCAUGGCAAGGGAUAAAAAGGACAGGCUUCUCUAAUGUGUCUGAAACAACAUUUGAAUCCCCUUUGUUCAUUCCCUAAAUCUGCUGCUCCUUUAGAAUUCCUGAUUUUCAUAAAUAGUACCACCAUUCACUUAUUUGCUCAGGCAUAAAACUUGGAAUUUUCUGAUUCUUCACACUCAUACAACUCAUCAGACAGUACCAUCAGUUCUUCCUGACAAAUACAUUCUGAAUUUAGCUACUUAUCACUUCCACUGGUACAACCCUUGGGAGCCACCAUCAUCUGUUGCUGGACCACAGCAAUAACCACACUAGUUGCUAUCACUUUCUAUCUGUACCCUCAUGAAUAUUUUCCCAUUUAAACCAUUCUCUAUAUACCAACCAAAGCAAUCACUUAAAAAAUGUUAUUAGGUUAUGUCACUCCCUUGUUUAAAACCCUCCAAUAGCUUCCUUAUGCACACAGAAUGAAAUCGGAAUUCCUUACCAUAGCCUUCAAGACUGCAUAAUCUGGCUCCUGCCCACUUCUCCAUCUUCCCAGGAAGCAGCACAGGAAGUUGUUCUCACCCUUCUUACUGCCUCCUUUCUGUCGUGGGCUGUGCUUUUUCUAGUCUGUAGCAGAGUCUGUUAGUUGUCCCCAAAAAUUCCUCCAUUUUUUUCAUAGUAAUAGACAUGGAUACAUGGCUACCCAGAACAAAGACUAUAUUUUGCAGCCUUCCUUGUAGCCAUGUAAUAGUGCUGGCUGAUGGGAUGUAAGCAGUAUAUCAUGUGGCACACUUGUAAAACCAUCCUUAAAAGAUAGUUGGUGCACACCUUCAAUGCGGCUUUUCCUUUAUCCUGUACCGUGGAAUAUAGAUGUGAUGGCUUAGAACUGUAGCUGCCAAUUUGUGCCUCAUGCAAGUUCUCUCAUUCUAGGGAUGGCAAAACUAAACUGGUGGAAACCAGGGUCUGUGAGAACUUUAUGGAUCAGAGCACCAUGCUAGCCCUGCAGUCGUAAAUGUCUAUAUUAUUAAAGCCACUAUUUUGGAGUCUCUUGUUCUCAACUGAAUUUAAUCUUACCUGAUACUCUGUCUCAGGGCCUUUGCACUUGCUUUUUAUUUUUUAUUUAUUUAUUUUUUUUCUGCCUGGGAUGUGGUCUUCUGUCUUGGAUAUGGCUGACUCAUUCUCUUCCUUCAGGUUAACCCAAAUAUCUCUGACAGGCCUUCCCUGGCCACCGUAUCUAAAAUAGCUCACGUUCCCAUUUAUUCUCUGUCAAUCACGUGCCCCUCUAUUUUCUUAAUAGCAUUUAUAAUUUAUCAUUAUCUUGUUUAUUCACUGUUUAUUUUCUACCUCCCUUCACCCUACAAAAAUAUAAACUACACCUGUUUUUUUCCACUACUUUAUCCUUCACACAUGGUAGGCAUUAGAUAAAUGCUGUUAAAUUAGUGAGUGAAUGAAUCAACAAAAUUCUUAUCCAAGAUUAGCUAGACUUUUUAAAUAAUAAAUGAGUAAAUGUCAACAGAUAUCCUUAACACAAAAUUUGUAAAAUCCAAUCUAGGAAACAGGAAAAACAGUACUAAACUAAUAGGAUAUUCCUGACCUCCAACUUAAUAAAGAAGAUGUCUACCUUUUUCUGGGAAAUCUGUAAGGCUAGUACAAGUUAAAAAAAAAAAGACUGCACUGCAGUAUAUCCAGGGCUAAAAUUCACACUAAAAGGGGUCUGAAUUAUAAUUUACUAGACCUCAGUUUCUUCAUCUUAAAUAUGUGUAAGCUUUGAAUGGUAAUACUAUAACAGUUAAAAGUUUAAUAGUAAGCCCAACUUAUGAGUGACAAAACAUGUUAAACAUUAAUUUAGUCUUCAGGCACUAUUUUAACAAGUGGUUAUUUCUUGAUAAUACUGGCAAGGAUUCAGAGAAACAGGGCUGCUUAUAUUGCUGAGAGUGUAUGUUGGCAGCACUUUUCUAGAGUGCAGUUUGGCAAUAUGUAUCAAAAGCCUUGAGCCAUGUGCAUUUGACCCAGCGAUUCUUUUAGAAAUGUGUCAUAAGCAGGCUGGGUGCAGUGGCUCAUGCCUGUAAUCCCAGCACUUUGGGAGGCCAAGGCGGGUGGAUCACCUGAGGCCAGGAGUUUGAGACCAGCCUGGCCAACAUGGUGAAACCCCGUCUCUACUAAAUACAAACAAAUUAGCUAGGUGUGGUGGUGCACGCCUGUAGUCCCAGCUACUUGGAGGCUGAGGCAGGAGAAUCGCUUGAACCCGGAAGGCGGAGGUUGCGGUGAGCUGAGAUCAUGCCACUGCACUCCAGCUUGGGUGACAGAGCAAGACUCUGUCCAAAAGAAAAGGCCAGGCACGGUGGCUCAGAGAGCCACCUGUAAUGCCAGCACUUUGGGAGUCUGAGGUGGGGUUGGAUCACCUGAGGGCACAAGUUGAAGACCAGCCUGGCCAACAUGGUGAGACCCCAUCUCUACUAAAAAUACAAAAAUUAGCUGGGCAUGCUGGCGGGUGCCUGUAGUUUCAGCUAUUGGGAAGGCUGAGAUGGGAGAAUCACUUGAGCCCAGGAGGCAGAGGUUGUAGUGAGCCGAGAUUGUGCCACUGCAUUCCAGCCUAGGUGACAGAGCGAGACUCCGUCUCAAAAAAAAAAAAAAAAAAGAGAAAUGUAUUAUAAGCAAAUAAGGGUGUGUUUAACAAGUUAAUUGCAAGAGUAUUCUUUACUGCAUCAUUUAUUAGGAGAUUGGUUAAGCAACAUCCAUACAGUGAACAGUAUUCAGCCAUUUGAAAUGAUGUGGAGGAAAUUUUAUUGACAUGAUACAUUGUUAAGAGCAAAAGAAAAAGUUUUAAAAUACAAAUGUUUAAUUUGUAAGUCUCACAAACAUCAUCUAACGAAAUAUACACGAGGUGUUAAGUCAGCCUUGCAAACGUAACUAUUUUUUCAUUAUUUUUAUAUCAGUUACUGUUAUUGGAGCAUUUUAUAUUGACUGAGGAUCUUUAUUAAAACUUCUUCAGCCUUCUGUGAAAUCUUGUUAUGAUGGCUAUAGUGACACUAUAUAAAACACAUAACCAGAAUAUGUUUAUGCUCAAAUAUUUCAAGCAAUAUUUGAUGCUUAAAAUACCAAAGUGACAAUGAAAAUGAAAGAAAUUUGGAUAGUUCCUUAGAGUUAUUUGUUUGUGUUUCAGAUAUGAACAUAAAGUAUGUUUUUAAUAUUACCAGUUUUG